CCUGGGGGUUGAAACCCCAGGCUAUUAUCUGUCGCCCCUAUCGGGGCU
rnacentral:sRNA from 1 species